UGGACGUGUACUUGGUUGAAAUUUACCUGCUGACCUGUAUUUCCGCGUGUGGACGUAACGUUCGUUUUCUCUUUUCCACCUAAUUGUACUAAUAACCUAAUUGGUACCGGAAAGAGAUGUCCCUUUUUGCGUUUGCAAGGAUAUUCUUCAGUGAAAAUGAGUAAUGCCAGUAGAAACUCUUCAUUUCUUCACAAAAAAGUUUGGCUUAAGACAAAAAUAAGACUUUAUUGGAUUGAAAAAUGAUACAUCUAAAUGGAAGACAUGGAUUGGAUAAUAUAAAUGCAGAUCAGCUGACUUAUGUUUCACAUGUCAGUUGGAGAUUUCCUGGGCAAAAUUUCUAGUAACUCAGCAUUUGAUUGACACAUCAUCAUAUGUUCGUCAUAUGGUAGUUUCACCCCAUCUGUCAUUUGUACCAAUUCUAGAUAUUGUCCAUACCAAGUCUUCAUGUUUACGUUCUUGCCAGUGGUGCUGAUACCUUUUUUUAUCACAACCGCUUGUUUCAGCUGUUCCAAGUAUUGAAGCAUUACUUAAGCAAGUACUUAGAGAGGGCUGCCCUUUACAAAAGAAGAGCUUAUCAUGAUGCUGUGAUGGUAUGUUUGCAAAACUGGAAAAAAUUCAAAAUUCUGUGCUAUGGUUGCCUUAAGUACAUGCUCAACAUUUUGAAAAAUGUGAACAGCAAAAACAGUUGUCACUAUGCAGUGUGUUUGGACAACCUAAGCAUUCUUGAAUCAGACUGCUUCAGUUUAUAUCGAAGAUGUAUUGCUUGUCAUGCCCGGUGACCAACUUCACAGGACUAUGUUCAAAUUUAGAUUACAUGCCUAGUAUGAAAGAGAUCAAGUAUAUUACCGAAAUUGGCUAUCUCAAUUCGCGACUUCCGUACUCAUCCUCAGUCUGUCAUUGUGAUGCAGGGGUCCUGAAAGAAGUUGGAACGUUUUGAACCGUCUCAGCCAAUAAGUAUUAGAAAAUAGGUAGUCGCUUAGUUUCUUCGCUGCCCGUCAACUUACCAUCCAAGCAAUCACUAUGUCUGUCAAACCAUUAGCUGAGUACAGUUAAUACCAGUAGUACACCAAAACAAGAGGUUAAGAAUCAUACUGAAUCAAAAGAGGUAUCUAGUCGAAGCAAAUUUCAUAAUGAUAACGGUUGGAAGCCCGAAGGAAUUUUUGAAAAAUGCCUCCUGCCCAUUACCUUCAGUCGUUGCUGCUGCCUGAAAACAAAGUAUUAAAAUUUAUAUAAAUUGAAGUGCAUAUCUGGGCUCCCUUCUUUUCUGUGGCCCCGUUUCCCUUAAAUUUUUAAUAAGCCCGUAGGGGGUCAUGCCCCUACUGUGAUCAGCAGUAAACGGUUGUGAGUGCGCUGUCCGGAAAGGGGACGUGGGGGUCCCCAUGGUUCGAUGAUAUCAUUGGAGGGCUGUGGGGCUACCCAAAAAUCCGAAUUAACGGUUAAUCGCUCACGUAAAAGCUUGUCCGCGACCUUCGCUCUUCUUCCGGCUUCUCUUAGCCACGCACCGGGUAAUCUCCCCGGUGAGUCAACUGAGGUAGUGUCUCCCCCUACCUUGGUUGACAGCAACUUUGAAAUCGGCUAUUUUGCCCUUUCAAAGUUGCAAGUCUUUAAAUUGUGCCGAAUAUUGUCAAUACAAAUUCUUUAAAAACAA